rnacentral:rRNA from 1 species
CCUACGGGAGUCAGCAGUGAGGAAUAUUGGACAAUGGGCGCAAGCCUGAUCCAGCCAUGCCGCGUGCAGGAAGAAGCAUCUAUGGUGUGUAAACUGCUUUUGUACGGGAAGAAACACUGCUACGUGUAGCAGCUUGACGGUACCGUAAGAAUAAGGAUCGGCUAACUCCGUGCCAGCAGCCGCGGUAAUACGGAGGAUCCAAGCGUUAUCCGGAAUCAUUGGGUUUAAAGGGUCCGUAGGCGGUUUGGUAAGUCGGUGGUGAAAGCCCAUCGCUUAACGAUGGAACGGCCAUUGAUACUGCCAGACUUGAAUUACUAGGAAGUAACUAGAAUAUGUAGUGUAGCGGUGAAAUGCUUAGAUAUUACAUGGAAUACCAAUUGCGAAGGCAGGUUACUACUAGUUUAUUGACGCUGAUGGACGAAAGCGUGGGGAGCGAACAGGAUUAGAUACCCUGGUAGUCCACGCCGUAAACGAUGGAUACUAGCUGUUCGGGGUAACCUGAGUGGCUAAGCGAAAGUGAUAAGUAUCCACCUGGGGAGUACGUUCGCAAGAAUUGAAACUNAAAUUGAGUUGNGNGNGAGAGNGCGAGACGACGACGAGGAGGAGG